rnacentral:ncRNA from 1 species
CGAAGGUUUGGUCCUAGCCUCAAUAUUAAUUUUAACCUAAUUUACACAUGCAAGUCUCAGCACUCCGGUGAGAACGCCCUAAUUAUUACCCUCAUUUUAUUAGGAGCUGGUAUCAGGCACAUUCCCAAUAGCCCAUGACACCUCGCCCAGCCACACCCACAAGGGAACUCAGCAGUGAUAAACAUUGUCCCAUAAGCGUAAGCUUGACCCAAUUAAAGUUAUAUAGUGUUGGUCAAUCUCGUGCCAGCCACCGCGGUUAUACGAGCAACACAAAUUAAUAUUUCACGGCAUUAAGGGUGAUUAGAAACAUCUCUAAUAAAAUAAAGUUAAAACCUUAUUAAGCUGUCAUACGCUUUUAUAUUUUAAAAACCCACUCACGAAAGUAACUUUAAAUAAAUACAGAACUUUUGACCUCACGACAGUUAAGACCCAAACUAGGAUUAGAUACCCUACUAUGCUUAACCAUAAACAUUGUUAUAAUAAACCCACCUUAAUACCCGCCCGAGUACUACAAGCGCUAGCUCAAAACCCAAAGGACUUGGCGGUGCUCCAAACCCCCCUAGAGGAGCCUGUUCUAUAACCGAUAAUCCGCGUUCAAUCCCACCACUUCUUGCCUUACCACCGCCUAUAUACCGCCGUCGUCAGCUCACCCUCUCAGGGCAUAAAAGUAAGCAAAAUGACCUUUCCCCUCAAUACGUCAGGUCGAGGUGUAGCGAAUGAAGUGGGAAGAAAUGGGCUACAUUCCCUUUUCAGGGUAUACGAACAGAAGCAUGAAAAUCUUCUUAAAGGUGGAUUUAGCAGUAAGUAAAUUUCAGGACAUUAUACUGAAACUGGCUCUGGAGCGCGCACACACCGCCCGUCACUCUCCUCAAAAAUCAUAUUUAACUUUUAUAAAAAAACUUUUUAGCAAGAGGAGGCAAGUCGUAACAUGGUAAGUGUACUGGAAAGUGCACUUGGAUU